UUUAUGAAAUUUAUUUCAGCAUGUUAUAAGAUCCGUAGGUGAUUUAUCUAAUAAUUCUGCAUGCUUUAUAUGAAAAUUAUUUUCAUACCUACUUCUGCUAGGUUAAAGUAACCUGAAAAAUUUUUUUGCAUGACCUAAUCACCUAGAACUCCAGCAGACCAUCUUUGCACCGGAUUGUCAUCUUCAGGAAGGCAUAAUUUCUACUUUAUAUG
rnacentral:lncRNA from 1 species